rnacentral:rRNA from 1 species
GACGAACGCUGGCGGCGUGCUUAACACAUGCAAGUCGAACGGAAAGGCCUGCUUUCCCUUGUGGAUUGCGGGUACUCGAGUGGCGAACGGGUGAGUAACACGUGAGUGAUCUGCCCCCAACUUGGGUAUAAGCCUGGGAAACUGGGUCUAAUUCCCGAUAGGACUGCAGGGUGGUGCCUGUGGUGGAAAACGAUUUUCUAGUGGUUGGGGAUGAGCUCGCGGCCUAUCAGCUUGUUGGUGGGGUAAUGGCCUACCAAGGCGGCGACGGGUAGCCGGCCUGAGAGGGUGGACGGCCACAUUGGGACUGGGAUACGGCCCAGACUCCUACGGGAGGCAGCAGUGGGGAAUAUUGCACAAUGGGCGGAAGCCUGAUGCAGCGACGCCGCGUGGGGGAUGACGGCCUUCGGGUUGUAAACUCCUUUCGACCGCGAGGAAGCCACCUGGUUGGAAGGGUGGUGACGGUAGUGGUAGAAGAAGCACCGGCUAACUACGUG